rnacentral:tRNA from 1 species
CAAGGGGUAGUAUAUAAAUAGUGCGUUUUGCUUACACCAAAAAAGAGAGAACUUCCCCCUUGA